CAAUACAGGUGGCGCACGGCGCACGGGUNCGUAACACGUGGGCAAUCUGCCCUCUGAUGGGGAAUAACCCGCCGAAAGGCGGGCUAAUACCGCAUAAAAUUCCUUGGACUCAUGUUCGAGGACUCAAAGGCGUAAGUCGUCGGAGGAGGAGCCCGCGCACGAUUAGCUAGUUGGUAGGGUAAUGGCCUACCAAGGCUUUGAUCGUUAGCUGGUCUGAGAGGAUGGCAGCCACACUGGAACUGAGACACGGUCCAGACUCCUACGGGAGGCAGCAGUGGGGAAUCUUGCACAAUGGGCGAAAGCCUGAUGCAGCGACGCCGCGUGGGGGAUGAAGCAUUUCGGUGUGUAAACCCCUUUCGAUCCGGACGAAUACCUCGUAAGAGGGGUGACGGUACGGAUAUAAGAAGCCCCGGCUAACUACGUGCCAGCAGCCGCGGUAAGACGUAGGGGGCCAGCGUUGUUCGGAAUUACUGGGUGUAAAGGGUUCGUAGGCGGUGUGGCAAGUUGGGAGUGAAAUCUCUGGGCUCAACCCAGAGGCUGCUUCCAAAACUGCUGUGCUUGAGUGUGAGAGAGGCUCGUGGAAUUGCAGGUGUAGCGGUGAAAUGCGUAGAUAUCUGCAGGAACACCCGUGGCGAAAGCGGCGAGCUGGAUCACUACUGACGCUGAGGAACGAAAGCUAGGGGAGCAAACAGGAUUAGAUACCCUGGUAGUCCUAGCCCUAAACGAUCAGGACUUGGGGUGCCACCCGUUCGGGUGUCGUCCCGGAGCUAACGCGUUAAGUCCUGCACCUGGGGAGCACGGUCGCAAGACUGAAACUC
rnacentral:rRNA from 1 species